UACGUAGGUGACAAGCGUUGUCCGGAUUUACUGGGCGUAAAGAGCGCGCAGGCGGUCGGUCAAGUCGAGUGUGAAAGCCCCCGGCUCAACUGGGGAGGGUCAUUCGAUACUGAUCGACUCGAAGGCAGGAGAGGGUAGUGGGAAUUCCCGGUGUAGUGGUGAAAUGCGUAGAUAUCGGGAGGAACACCAGUGGCGAAGGCGACUACCUGGCCUGUUCUUGACGCUGAGGCGCGAAAGCUAGGGGAGCAACGGGG
rnacentral:rRNA from 1 species